AUUGAACGCUGGCGGCAUGCCUUACACAUGCAAGUCGAACGGAUUUGAGGGGCUUGCUCCUCAAGUUAGUGGCGAACGGGUGAGUAAAGCAUCGGAACGUACCAGUAGUGGGGGAUAACGUAGCGAAAGUUACGCUAAUACCGCAUACGACCUGAGGGUGAAAGCAGGGGAUCGCAAGACCUUGCGCUAUUGGAGCGGCCGAUGUCGGAUUAGCUAGUUGGUAGGUAAAAGCUCACCAAGGCGACGAUCUGUAGAUGGUCUGAGAGGAUGAUCAGCCAAACUGGAACUGAGGCACGGUCCAGGCUCCUCCGGGAGGCAGCAGUGGGGAAUUUUGGACAAUGGGGGCAACCCUGAGCCAGCCAUGCCGCGUGAGUGAAGAAGGCCUUCGGGUUGUAAAGCUCUUUCGGCCGGGAAGAAAUCGUGCAGGCUAAUACCCUGUAUGGAUGACGGUACCGGAAUAAGAAGCACCGGCUAACUACGUGCCAGCCGCCGCCGUAACAC
rnacentral:rRNA from 1 species